rnacentral:rRNA from 1 species
AAUAUUGGACAAUGGGCGCAAGCCUGAUCCAGCCAUGCCGCGUGAGUGAUGAAGGCCCUAGGGUUUUAAAGCUCUUUCAACGGUGAAGAUAAUGACGGUAACCGGAGAAGAAGCCCCGGCUAACUUCGUGCCAGCAGCCGCGGUAAUACGAAGGGGGCUAGCGUUGUUCGGAAUUACUGGGCGUAAAGCGCACGUAGGCGGAUUGGUCAGUUAGGGGUGAAAGCCCGGAGCUUAACUCCGGAACUGCCUUUAAUACUGCCAGUCUAGAGACCGAGAGAGGUAAGUGGAACUCCUAGUGUAGAGGUGGAAUUCGUAGAUAUUAGGAAGAACACCAGUGGCGAAGGCGGCUUACUGGCUCGGAACUGACGCUGAGGUGCGAAAGCGUGGGGAGCAAACAG